rnacentral:rRNA from 1 species
UACAGACGGUCCCAAGCGUUUGUUCGGAUUCAUUGGGCGUAAAGGGUGCGUAGGCGGCGCGGUAAGUCGGGUGUGAAAUCUCGGAGCUUAACUCCGAAACUGCAUUCGAUACUGCCGUGCUUGAGGACUGGAGAGGAGACUGGAAUUUACGGUGUAGCGGUGAAAUGCGCAGAUAUCAGGAGGAACACCGAUGGCGAAGGCAGUGUUCUGGGCCAGUACUGACGCUGAGGAGCGAAAGCGUGGGGAGCAAACAGG